UUUUUUUUCUUUUUUUUUUUCGUUUCUUGUUCUUAAAAUUGUUCUUUAGAAGGAUAUUAUUGUAGGUUUUGUUGAUAUCCGAUGCUCCUUCUUUUCACACUGCCAAGUAAUGUAGAGUAUUUGGAGGUAAAAUAAGUAAAUAAUAAAUAGGUAAAAUAAGUAAAUAAUACAUAGGUAAAAUAAGUAAAUGAGUAAAUAAGCAAAAGGUAAGUAAGUAAGGAGGUAAAUGAUUAGACAAGCGAGCGUCUUUCGUAGACAGAUUGAUUUCUCUUACAGGCCCUUUGAUUAAACUUCUGAUUUUUUUUU